GAUCUCUCCUCCUGAGUUAGCAAUGGCUUCCUCUACCCCUCUCCACUUUGCUUGGAGGCAGAGAAGGGAGGGGUCACCGUGGACGGCGUUGGAUUUGGGCUGCCUGUCAUCUCAUUUCAGGAAGUGUCCUGCUCUCCCCUUGGCCAGCUUUCCCAGAUACUUGUGGGCCUGCAUUCCUUUGGUCCUACCCAGGUCUGUUUUGCAACAUUUUACUCCCAUCCUUAGUUCCCACCUCUGUGGAGGAUGGAGCGCAUCUCCUUAGUGUCUUGUGCUUUCUGCGGCAGAUU
rnacentral:lncRNA from 1 species